GGGAGCUAUCCACGGACACGACGCUGUUCCAGAAAGCCAUUUAGUUACUGGAGGUGCAUGUGCUCAUUCUAGUUCUCUACGAUACUUAAUGUGCACCUAAGUGUGUGCCAACACCGUAUUAUAAGGGCUGGAGGUGCUCCUGGACAUUUUAGCGCUGCGGAGGCAGCACAGCACAGGCGCUCACCCCCGCGCUGGUCCCACUCCGAAUCCAGAGUCCAGACGUCUGAAAAGCGCUACGCUUGGUGACAAUUUGGCGUUUCCUUAAUUAACAAAACUCUCCCCAAGGCAGAGCCAGACACUGCGCCGGUCUCCUGGUUCCACUCCCGUGGGGACUAGCAGUCCCGGAAUCUCUCGGACUCUAAGGGGCCCCAGACGCCCUCCCGGCUCUUGCGAACAGUCAGGCUCCUAGCUCUGCCUGGCUUUGGAGGAUGUCGGGGGCCAGUGCCUGCGUGCACUCCCACUCUCCGGCCUCCUCCCCAGCCGCCGCUUCCGCUAUCCUCACGGCCCUUGGGAAGCAGCUGGGUAAGAGCUGCGGUCAAAAGGGGUAGGAGAGGGGGGUGUCCUAGAGCGGAGAGUCCCUGGCGCCACUGCCCCGCGCGUAGGGGGCGCUCCCCGGCCUACUUACCCUGAUUGCGAAUAGCGGGCUGGCUCUCGAGGCAGCUGGGCAGGUAGGGCGCGUUAGGAAACAUCCUGGCCUGGCCGGAUGACGCCUGGCUGGGCGGAGGAGGACCGAAGGGCCCGUAGCGACAGGCUCCGGCUGUGCCAGUGAACUGGCCGGAAAAGUGGACAGUGAAGGCGCUCAGGCACUGCUCCUCGUGCGGCUCCGCGCCGCCCCAGCUCGGCUCCUGUUUGAUGAAGGAGUGAGGCGGCGGCGGCGGGGGUGGCGGCGGAGCCGGUGGCGGCGCGGGGCCGCCCAACGACCCGUAAGCCGAAGCGCCCGGGGGCGCAAAGUCCAGCACCGGCGCCCACUGCGCCGCGCCGCUCACAGGCAGGGCACAGCCGCCGCCGCCACCCAGGGAGGGGACGGCGGGCAGCAGCGCGUUCAGGUCCCGCACGUCGGAGCCCAUUUGCUGCGGCUCAGACCCGGACGCCCCGCGGCUCCUCCGGCCCUGGAGACGUUCAGCGCUGGCCUCGGCGGCGCCUAACUUGGCCCAGAUGCCGCCCGGGUCCCGGACUCCCUGCUGCUCUGGCUGCUGUAGGCACCCAGGCCCGGAGCGGAGCGUGUGCUGAGACGCCGGCUCCGGGACACACGUGGAAGCCGGGUCCUGCAGCAAGAGGAAGUCCAGGAUCGCGGCGAGGAGACGGCGGGGCCCGGGCGCCUGGGCUGCCGUCCCGGCUCUGGGUGGGUGGGUGGGUGAAUGAGUAGGUGGGAGGGAGGGCGGGAAGUGGGGGAGCGGACAGGCGGUCGGGUUGCGGAGAGCCCCCGGGUGUGGGCGCUGCCUUGAACUCCUUACCCCAGCUGCCUGGCUGCCCUCAGCUUCCCAAAGCUCAAAUAAGAGGGGCCGGCGGCGCGGGGAAGAGGAGGAGCCAGGAGGCUCGGCCGCUCCAUUCACUCAGCAGCCCAAGCCCGGCCAGGCAGCGCGCGCUGCUCCUUGGGGGCGCCCUCGCAGCUGGGGUGAGGGCGGGUCCGAGGGAGCGUCCCUCUCGGAGACACCCUCCUCUUCAACCCAACACGCGCUCUCAGCUGGCCGGUGUGGCACAACCCUCCCCCCACCUCCCCUUCUUGGCCUUCGCCAGUGUGGGAGCCUCGUCUCACUGGAGAGUCCGUUCAGGUAAGCAGUGAGUCCGGGCAGGGUCGAAUGCGGUGGGAGUAGAGAUGGGGUUGUUAAUCUAAAAGAGUGGUUUGGAGGGAGGGGCAGGUAGGCUCCAAGAGGGCGGGAACUUCAGGAAAGCGCAGAAAGAACUCAGUCAAGCUUCAAAGAAGCGUAUACCCUUGCUUUGCACCCUUGAGUCUGGCUCUUGCUUCUAGAACUGUCGGGUAGGGGAGUGGCCAUGAUCUUGGGGUCACUGGGGAAAGAGGUGGCCCUUUGUGGGUUCCAGAGGUCGGGACUGAAAGCGAACGUCCCUCAGUUGGGUGGCCGGGAGUUGCACCAGUUAUAAGCCGGGCGUAUUUCGAUCGGCUAGUAGUUGUUUACUUGGUGAGGUUUGCGCCAGGCGGAAGGCGGUUGCCGCCUACCUAAAAUUGGAGUCAGCAGCACUUAGUUUCCCUUUCCAGUGAGGAAUAUCUAAUUCUUCUACGGUUAAGCCGGGAAAACAGCGGCUAGUUUAGGAGGGAAGAAAACCCUUGGGCAAACGCCCAAAGCCUGCGUAUAUUCCGGCCGGAGCAUCCUGGCGCCCAGUUUGGGGAGGAGGGGUGAAGGGGAGGGUUUGGAUACGAAGCCCGGCAGGGAGCGGGUAACUCCUGGAGCCACUCCGCCGAGCACUGCCUGUGGCCCUGGUCGAGGAUACCAUUCUGGUUGCUCAGUGAUUGACCAGGAGGCGGAAGCCAGUUAAGGGGACCAAGGAGUGGAGUAGGGAGAACCUCCAUCGGCCCACGGGCGCGAGUUAGUGUUCGAAUCUUUGGGAGCUCGAAGAGCUUCGCUAAAUCUGACUCCCUUCGUCUAGUCUCUGUUUGGCAGCCCCCGCGCCCCAGAGCAGGUGUUUGGGGCGGGUAGGGGGUGUUUUGGUUUGGUUUUUGGAUCUUCUAAAGGAGUCAGUAUCUAUUGGGAAACAACCCCUAGGCAAGGAGAAGAACCGGGGGCCGGAGCGGAGCGUGUUUCAGAGGUGCGUAUAAAAUCCCAGGGGCGCCAGGAGGCAGCAGCGACGGCGCAGCGUGGGACGGCCAGGCGCGACGGGAGGGAAGCAACCGGUUGCAGUCCGGCCUCCUGUACCUGGCUGGCCCGGGCUGGGGCUGCAAGCUUUCCAGCCAAACUUAUGUGAAGCAAAGUAGUUGCAGUUUGACAAAGAAUGGCGUUUCAAUAAAUGACAUAGUAAUUUUUUACGCUUUGGUUUUUAGCUUGCAUUGCAUAAACGUUGUCGCCAUUAAAUUCUGGCUGCGGACCCGAAGUGUGUGCGGGCCCAGGACUUACUCGAAGGGCGCACUUCUUGGGAAUGCGCAUCCCGUAGGCGCAGGAGACCCUGAGGGUAAAGAUGCGGCACUUGAGCCCUCCGCUUGCCUCCCAGGCCACCUUUGCUGCUUGACUUUGCGUCGUCUCCACUCAGAAGCUUUUAAAAUUAUUAUUAAGAAAAGAAAGAUUCUACAAGACACUGCCCCCACGCUCUCUGCUCAGUCCUCUCCCACACGAUCUAUCCCUAAACCUUUCGCGGGGCUCGCGCGUUUGGUUUUUUGAGUGGAGAAAGGACUCUCGAGACAAAAUUCACUGCCAGUUGCCCUAAGAACCCCCCAGAUCCCUGUAUCUCCCUUCCUUCUCCCCGCCUAUUAUUUCUACUUGGAAGUCGUUUUUCUUAACUAGGACUCAACUGUGAGGGGCGAGGAGCCCUUUAUGAAAAGCCGGGGACUUUCAUUUCCAAACGAAAAGAUUGAGAUUGUUUCUUCUUUUACCAUCCUUGGCACUUUUAGCGGGGGGAGAGGAGGUUAUCUGAAGGGAGGCUGGCUUGAAUGUGAGUCGUUGUGUUUGUGAAACCCAGGUAAGGCAAAGACACGUAAAUCUCUGCCAACAUUUUUCAAAAAUAAGUUUUUGCCCCGGGGUGAGGGAUGUAGGGGUGGAUAGGAGGAAAGGAGAGCCAAGCAAAUGUAGAACUCCUCUCUCCUCUGCCAUUUAUUUUCUCAGAAUCCUUGUGGGGGCGGGGAGGGGAAGAGCACCGGUGCGAACCCCGGGGUGCCCCCUCGCCCGACUUGGACUUCUCCGACUAAAGAGGUGGGAGGAGUUCCCUGCAGCCUGCGGGGCCAAGAAGAAAGUGCUAAGCUGAGGAGCCGCAGUCGGAGGACCCCAGGGACCCGACAGGAAGUCUCCGUACGACCCCAACGGAUCCACAUGCCCGGAAGCCCAGGCGACACUAAGCCAGCGCUGGGGAACUGACGUACUCCUGCAGUCGCAGGGCGCUCCAUGCCUCUCUGUCCUCUUCUUUGUUGUGGGUAACGUUCUCUGCGGGAGACCUGAGGUUUUCCAAGGGGGACAUGCCAGCUACACUGGCCUUGGCGCCCUGAGCUAAGCACCAGGACUCACAGCCUAGCACGAAGGCAGGUAGCACCUUCACCCGCCGCGGACGAUAGGCGCUCUCCUGUACCUCCUUUAGCUCGCGAGGCCCGCCCUUCGCGAGGUCCCAGAGAAAAGCAGGCUGUGGAAAACUGGGCGCCCCCUUCUUUCACCCACCUUCUUACCCCUGUCAGCGCCGAGAUCUGUAGCAGAGGUUCCUGGUCUGAACCACCGAUUGGCAAAGAAAGCUGCAGAUUAAACUUCUCGUUUUACAGAGAAGGAAACUGAGGCCCAGACAGCCGAAGGAGAGGCAGUCUAUGGAGCGCAGCGGUAAAGAGCAAGGGGUUGGUGGCCCCAGAAUGGAACCUCAGCUCUGCCAGGUAACCAACAGCUGUGUGACCCUAGACGAGUUCCGCAGUCUCUCUGAGCCUCAGUUUCCUUACUGGUCAAACGGGAUAAUGGGAUACUAGCGCCCACCUCAUAGAGUUGUUCUGAGGAUUAGAUAGGAGAGCAGUGUGGGCCUUUG
rnacentral:lncRNA from 10 species